AAAAAAAAAACAAAAAAACGGGAAGAUAUGAUUACUCCUUCAAAAUGUCAACAGCGCUUUAAGUAGUGCGCCGAAAAGGUCAAGCACGUUGAAAAUGUAACCGGAAUGGGCCGAACAGAUCUCACAAGGGAAAUGCUGUAACCUGCGAAGCGACAGUCCAAAAAGGUGACAGCUGGAAGGAACCAAACGAGGAAAUCGGGUUCGGCACGGUAUGAUUCGAGUGGAGCUUCAAGUGGAUUGCACAAGGUGCGCAAUAUUGUGCGAUUAGGAGUGGAAACUCAUACGCACACGCUUUGUCGCUUCUUACUGUCGCAGCCGACCGUUGCAGGAUGAAGGAUUUAUUUGUUUCGGGCCGUGGAAGCCGCGCACGACGAACGCAGCGGGCAUAAUGUGCGCACGUUGCAACAUCCCGCACCUGCACCUGCCACAGUAAACGACCCCCUCUCGACGAUGGGGAGGGCCUGUCUCUGGACCGGGUUCGGGUGAGAUGCCAGCACUGAGCGCCGUGCCAUUGUGGUCCGAUGUACGAUAGGGGACAGGCGUGUUGGGACGGAAAAAGCUACCUCAUGUGGGUAUGAGCAAAGCUGUGUAAACAAGAUAAUAGUCCACUAUCUUUUUGCCCGGUCGUCGUAGUUGCCGUCGUCGUCGCCGGGCUCCGUCGUCGUUGGUGAAGUUGCGAUCCCGGUACGCCGGGCCAGAAACAACAGAAAUCAUGUUGACGACGUUGACAACAAUCCUUCUUCAUCUGCUCGCUGCCCGAGAUCGCUGCCGUCAUUUAUGUACAAUCUCGGGCGAUUUUUUCCUUGCUGUUGCUGCUGCUUCGCUCGCUGUCGACGGGAUGGAUGGAUUCGUUGUUGACAAACUGCUCGUUUGGGUAGGCAGCAUC